GGGAAGGUAACAGCGUUAUGUGCAGUCAUACUAGCUACAUGAUCACAGUUGUCUUUGACAACGCUGGCUCUUCGGCUUAGCAAUGGAGAUGAGCACAGUCGGACACAACUUGACAACUUUGUCAAAGGAGAAUUUACUUUUUACUCAAACUAAGGAUUUUGUAUAUAUCUAGUUUUCCUAAAACAUCUUACUGACUCACAAAGGAACACUAAUUUUGCAUGAAGACAUAAUGUAUGGAUGUUUCACUUACCUAUUUUUCAUGCUAUUUUAUUUCACCCAAUGUCUAGAUAACUGGAUUGUUGCCACGACUGCAUGGGAAAGUUGACCUACUACUGUUUAAUCCACCCUAUGUGGUAACUCCUUCUGCUGAGAUACAAAGUCAUGGAAUAGAGGCAGCUUGGGCUGGAGGUAAAAAUGGCAGAGAAGUUAUGGACAGACUUCUUCCACUGGUGCCAGACUUGCUUUCAUCAAAAGGAUUGUUUUACAUAGUUACGAUCAAAGAAAAUAAUCCAGGUAGGAAAGAAAGUUUGUUUCUUUUUUGUUGUUAAAUAUAUGAAUACACUGGUCCUCUUUGAUAAUAUUCUGAAAACAAUACAAAUUACUAUUCAUUUAUUGUGUUAAAUCAUAUCAUUUAGAGGAAGCCUUCCAAAUAAACAGGUAAUCCUUAUGGGUCUUGGAGAUGGCUUCACACCGAGCUAGAUUGUCUCUGUAUGUAUGGUCCAAACUAUGUUAUCCUAAAGAAUAUAUAGCAUUCAGCAGUUGCUAUUAAGAUAUUAUGGAAAGCCUUUGUAAGGAAUAAAGAUGGCCUUUUGUGCAUUUA